UACAGAGGUCUCAAGCGUCGUUCGGAUUCAUUGGGCGUAAAGGGUGCGUAGGCGGCGCGGUAAGUCGGGUGUGAAAUCUUGGAGCUUAACUCCGAAACUGCAUUCGAUACUGCCGUGCUCGAGGACUGGAGAGGAGACUGGAAUUUACGGUGUAGCGGUGAAAUGCGUAGAUAACGUAAGGAAGACCAGUGGCGAAGGCGGGUCUCUGGACAGUUCCUGACGCUGAGGCACGAAGGUCAGGGGAGCAAACGGG
rnacentral:rRNA from 1 species